CCCACCCCAGGCCUGUCUCCACCCCCAGGCCUGUUUCCACCCCAGGGCUGUGUGCUGUGAUCUGGGCUUGGUUGAGGCCCAGGUGCCCACCGUCCACCACUCAGAUUAUGUGCCUGAACUCUGGGGACGCUCCCACCUACCGCCCUCUCAAGGAGCUCCUUCCCUGAGUGUCUCCGCUGGUCUCCUGGCUUCCACUGGCUGGACCUUCCAAUGCUCCUGCGAUUCGAGAGGCCCUCGCUGGGCCCAUGACUCUUCCUGUAGCUGAGACUCUAUAGCCCGAAUGCGAGCCUAGCCCUGCAGUCGCCAGAUAAGAUAAUAUAGCCUGGUAUAGCUAGCUAUUUUAGCUGUCGCAUCGGCUAACCCUAAUGUUAGCCUAAUCCUAGCAUAUGCUAAUCUAGAGAGGGAAGGUUUCUCCCAUGUUAUCUUGAACUAGACUAGCAUCUCCUGGCUACUACUGCCCCUCGGAUCCUCCACUGAACUGCUGACAGCUGGCUUAACUUCAAGGCAAGAUUGUACUCUCUGGCCUGCAUGGACCCAGCCAGCCAAGCCAUUACGUAAAGCACUGAUGAAGAUGUACACUGAACCAAGGAAAUACAAUUCCUUCCACAAACUCCUUUGCCCUUCAGCCUGGUUCCUCCAGCUGGCCCCGGAAGGACUCGUGACAGCUAACUGCAGAUCACCCCAGCCAGCUGUCACCCACAGGGGAGGGAGGGAUGGAUGGAGGGAUGAAGGGAUGGAGAGAUGGAUGGGAACUGCAAAUGCAUAAUCCAUCCAAUGCGUUGUUUGGAUGGAUGAACGGAUUGAUGGAUGGAUGGUUAGAUGUUGUUGACUGAUGUAAAACAUGGAGGAGGCGAUAGAUGCAUGAUGCUAGAUGAUGAUAGUGCUGGAGACGUGAAUCCUCUAAGAACUCAACUCUAGCUGGGAGAAAGGGAAGAGGGAGGAAUGGAUGAAGGAGAGGUUGGUGAACAGAGAGAUGGACGGAACCCUGCACAUUGGAUGGAGGGAUGAGAGGAGGAGUCAAAGUAGACAUUUAUUUGAUGACUUUGACGUACAGGAACCGGACUGGGUUUCAUGGUGUGUGAGGAACCUCCAACACCAUCUUGAGAUCCUUGGGACAAGGCCUCUACAGUGACCAGCCAAACACAACAUCCCCAGAUGCCUCAAACUGAACCACUGAUACACAGAUUCAAAUAAAUGAACCUACAGCUCUGAUGUUAGACUCAGAAGCCAUGGAAACAUGGCAUCCGUAACACAGCUGUGGUUGCUGCUUCUUUCCUGUAGGGGGCGACGUGCCAGCAAGAAAAGGCAGGCCUGCAAGGUCUAAACAGGAGUUCACACACCAAAGCAUUGUUCAUUAUGAUUAUGUAACAUUCACCCGGUCACCUCACUGCAAGAGUAGUGCAAAGCCAACAGGUGUUUACUUUGAGGUUGUUACCUUCACAUUUUGUUCUUGUUUUUAGCCAAGGCAUGAGCUGAGGUCAUUGUAGUUAUGAUUAUUGGGGUUGUGGAUCGAUUGGAGGAUCGGGCCUCAAGGUGAACACUUUAACAACGAGAUUAGGGUUGUGUAUCGUUUAUAUCCCAGGCUAGAUGUACCAAAACAAACUCCACACACAUACACAUACCCACACACACGCACCCACACAUACACACUGAGGGGCAUGCAACAGGCGUACAUUGACCAUUGAAGAAUUGCUAUGCAAUGAAAGGUUUUGGGGAUAAAUAUCUCAGAUUUAUUUACACGAUAUCGAUUAAGAAACAGGUUGACCAUAUGAGCAUGUGAGGAAGUCAGUUAACUCAUUUUAGGACACGUGCUCUGCAUUUCAGACCAAUGCACACACAAGGCUUUGGGGAAACCCUUCUAACAGUACAGCUGGACAGACUGAUGGUAUGAUAUAUAUAUGUGACUUAUGUUUAUACCACGGUUUUCUUCUCACCAUUUGUAUUUAUCGCCUGUUUGCAUGGUUCUUAUUUAUUCAAUCUCUUCAUUUGUAUAUUUUGCUUAGCCAAAGACACUGCAAGCUGUUUAUCUGAGCACUGAUUCUGGCACUGAUACUUAGCUCUAUGUUGUCAGUUGUGGUUUAGCCAUGAUGACACUUUGAAGUUUAGCCCAUCCCUCUCCUUAUAUUCUUUAGGCAUUUUAACGUACUUUUGUACACGAUUAUUAAAAAAGUUACUCUAACAUAGGAGAAAUAUUUUUGUGUAGCAUAAAUGUGUAUUAACCAUGUACAUUUUUUUCAAGUUUUAAGAGGUUUAAAGUUGAAAGAAUUUAGUUUCUACACAAAACAAAUAUCUUUUUACAAGAGUAAUUUGGAGUCCAUGUAUGUUUAAUGUAUUGUAUGAUGGUAAUUGUUCAUGACAUAGUAUAUGACAUGUAUUAAAGUGAUCCGAAUGUUCAA